AGUUUGGGAUCCACAGUCUACAAAAUCCCACAGCUCCUAAGAAUUCUCUCACCUGCCUUCUGCCCUUAAGCUCCGGUAGAUUGCAAAUAACCUGCUUUCUUUCUGUUCCCGAGCUGCCUUCGGACCCGUCGGAUCGUAAAUCCCACGUAAGGUACCUGCCGUCGGAAGAUUUGAACUUUCUACUUGGACACCUAAAACCCACAGUCCUCCAGCUGCGUUCGGACCCAUGUCUUAUUGUAAAUCCCACGCAAGGUACCUGCCGUCGGAAGAUUUGAGCUUUCUUCUUGAACACCUCAUACCCACAGUCCUCCAGACAGAAAGACAACAGGUACAAAGCCCUAAGGAUUAUAAAGGUAUGCUGCUUACCAUCAUCUUAGUGACCAAGGCAGCGAAGCUGUUUCUGUACCUUGGAACAGUCUUCCCUGACAAGCCAGAGAACAGUGAUAAAGCCACCAGCCUUGGGAUCAGGACUGAAAAGGCAAGAGUGAUGGAGAUUUCUCCUGCGCUAAGCCAAGAGAAGGUUUCAGCACUUCAGACAGCUCCCACCGAAGUAGCCACGCUCCCAGCUGCUUGCAGAUGUUGAAAAGGAAAGCCUCGGUUUGUCUUGAGGUUGUCAGCAGGUGCAAGACACGUAAUAAAAUGCAAUGUGUUCCUAA
rnacentral:sRNA from 1 species